AACGAACGCUGGCGGCGUGCCUAACACAUGCAAGUCGAGCGCGAAUGGAGCAAUCCUAGUAGAGCGGCGCACGGGUGCGUAACACGUGGGUAAUCUGCCUCAAAGCCCGGGAUAACCUGCCGAAAGGCAAGCUAAUACCGGAUAAGCCUACGGACUCUUCGGGGUCUGAAGGAAAAGGUGGCCUCUGUAUACAAGCUAUCACUUUGAGAUGAGCCCG
rnacentral:rRNA from 1 species